rnacentral:rRNA from 1 species
GACGAACGCUGGCGGCGUGCUUAACACAUGCAAGUCGAACGGAAAGGCCCUGCUUUUGUGGGGUGCUCGAGUGGCGAACGGGUGAGUAACACGUGAGUAACCUGCCCUUGACUUUGGGAUAACUUCAGGAAACUGGGGCUAAUACCGUAUAGGAGCUCCUGCUGCAUGGUGGGGGUUGGAAAGUUUCGGCGGUUGGGGAUGGACUCGCGGCUUAUCAGCUUGUUGGUGGGGUAGUGUCUUACCAAGGCUUUGCCGGGUAGCCGGCCUGAGAGCGUGACCGGCGUCAUGGGGACUGAGAGACGGCCCAGACGCCUAUGGGAGACAGCAGGGGGGAAUAUUGUACAAUGAGCGGAAGCCUGAUGCAGAAACGCAGCGUGCGGAAUGACGGCCUGCGGGGUGUAAACAGCUGUAGCCUGUGACGAAGCGGGAGUGACGGUAAUGGGUAAAGAAGCACCGGCUAACUACGUG